GUGAGGAAUAUUGCGCAAUGGAGGCAACUCUGACGCAGCCAUGCCGCGUGCAGGAAGAAGGCGCUACGCGUUGUAAACUGCUUUUAACCGGGAAGAAACCCCAGGACGUGUCCUGGGUUGACGGUACCGGAGGAAUAAGCACCGGCUAACUUCGUGCCAGCAGCCGCGGUAAUACGAAGGGUGCAAGCGUUAUCCGGAUUCAUUGGGUUUACAGGGUGCGUAGGCGGAGCGUUAAGUCAGUGGUGAAAUCCUGCAGCUUAACUGUAGACUUGCCAUUGAUACUGGCGCUCUUGAGUGCGCUUGAAGUGGGCGGAAUGUGCCGUGUAGCGGUGAAAUGCUUAGAUAUGGCACAGAACACCAAUUGCGAAGGCAGCUCACUAAGGCGAUACUGACGCUGAGGCACGAAAGCGUGGGGAUCGAACAGGAUUAGAAACCCCGGUAGUCC
rnacentral:rRNA from 1 species